UGGAAAAUCGAAGUAGCCGGGUCUC
rnacentral:piRNA from 1 species